rnacentral:rRNA from 1 species
UAUGUCAUACUUCCAAGAAAAGCUUGCACUGUCAUAGAUAAAAAACGCCUGUACCAUAACCGACACAGGUGGGUAGGUAGAGUAUACUAAGGGGCGCGAGAUAACUCUCUCUAAGGAACUCGGCAAAAUAACUCCGUAACUUCGGGAGAAUGAGUGCCUUAUUCUUAAGGUUGCAAUAACAAGAUCCAAGCAACUGUUUAUCAAAAACACAGGUCUCCGCUAAGUCGUAAGACGAUGUAUGGGGGCUGACGCCUGCCCAGUGCCAGAAGGUUAAAGAAGCUGGUUAGCAAUUGCGAAGCUGGUGACUGAAGCCCUGGUGAACGGCGGCCGUAACGAUAACGGUCCUAAGGUAGCGAAAUUCCUUGUCGGGUAAGUUCCGACCCGCACGAAAGGCGUAAUGAUUUGGAUACUGUCUCGGAGAGGGGCUCGGUGAAAUAGACUUGUCUGUGAAGAUGCGGACUACCUGCACCAGGACAGAAAGACCCUAUGAAGCUUUACUGUAACUUGAAAUUGAAAUUGGACUUUAUUCGCGCAGCAUAGGUGGGAGGCGUUGAUUAUAAUCUUGCGGGAUUAUUGGAGCCAUUAGUGAGAUACCACUCUUGUAAUGUUAGAUUUCUAACUUUGAAUCAUUAUCUGGUCAAAGGACAGUUUCAGGCGGGCAGUUUGACUGGGGCGGUCGCCUCCCAAACGGUAACGGAGGCGUACAAAGGUUUCCUCUGAACGGUUAGAAAUCGUAUCUAGAGUGUAAAGGCAUAAGGAAGCUUGACUGUGAGACCUACAAGUCGAGCAGGGACGAAAGUCGGUCUUAGUGAUCUGACGGUACUGAGUGGAAAGGCCGUCACUCAACGGAUAAAAGUUACUCUAAGGAUAACAGGCUGAUCUCCCCCAAGAGUUCACAUCGACGGGGAGGUUUGGCACCUCGAUGUCGGCUCAUCGCAUCCUGGGGCGGUAGUACGUCCCAAGGGUUGGGCUGUUCGCCCAUGAAAGCGGUACGCGAGCUGGGUUCAGAACGUCGUGAGACAGUUCGGUCCAUAUCCGGUGUAGGCGUUAGAAUAUUGAGAGGAGCCUUCUUUAGUACGAGAGGACCGAGAAGGACAUACCUCUGGUGCACCAGUUAUCGUGCCAACGGUAAACGCUGGGUAGCUAUGUAUGGAGUGGAUAACCGCUGAAAGCAUCUAAGUGGGAAGCCCACCUCAAGAUAAGUAUUCUCA